rnacentral:lncRNA from 1 species
CUGGAAAACUCCUCCCGACGCCACAUUGGCCAUUGCCACGAUUGUCAGGAAAGAUUUCCUCGGGAGAAGCUUAAUUUCUUGUGGUGUAUAGAGAUAUUGUUUAGUGGUUGUUUCCAUGUUGUGCCCCUAAGAAUUAGCUGUGCCAUGCUGCAAAAUCAUGUUAUUUGUUUUAAAUCUACGAUAUGUGUUAUGUGACUAUUCAUCUUAAACUCAUGUGUAGAAACGUACUUAUCCUUUGGUAAAUAUAUUUAUUUCUGCUUGUUUGGAAUAAGCAUUUGAACAUCAAAACAGAAAACUGUUGCACCAAUCAGAUUUCAUGUUCCUCUAGCGAGGUUGCUCAGCCUGAUGGAUAGUCUUCAAAGGUGAAGACAUUUUCACACACCUCAGUCUAGGUAAGGUUGGAAGUUCUGUUUUUUGGUGUGCACUUUUUAUUUGUUUUCCAUCUUCCAAUUAAUUGAAAUAUAGGUAAACUCCAUACCAUCUAUGAAAUUGUUUCUUAUUAAGGAAAACAAUCAAUAAAUAAUUGAAAUACAUAUUUCCCCUUUAUUUGAAUUCUAAAGAUCAUGUCAUUCUCCCUAGGUAUUGGUUUUAUACGGGAACAUUUGUAAAUAUAAUAAUUAGAUUAAAAAUAUUAGAAUAUAUAACAACAUUUUAAAAAAUUACAAAUAUACCAAAAAUCUAUCCGUCAUACACUUUUAUCACAUUGUUGAUAGACUCUCAUUGACUCUUAUUGUUCCAUUAGUAAUAGACCCUGAUUUAUCAUUGAUAAACUAUACAAGGUUGAUAAUAGAUUUUGUUAUAUUUGUAAUUAUUUUUUUGUUGCAAUGCUUACUAUUUUCAACCCUCACUACUAAGCAUUUUCAACCCUCGCUACUGCAACUUGGAGACUACGAGAAUUGAGAUUAUAUUAAAUCUAACCUGAGUGCUUCGCGUAAGAUAGUUUUGCCUGAGAUAGUUUUAUAUAGAAAUAGUGUUUCUUUAGUUUACUUUAUUAUAUUAUUAUUGAUUUUUAUAAUAUUGUGUUGAAAAGUGAAGCUUUGGUUCUGACUAAUUCUCUCUUGUUUAUGAAGUAUUUACAAAACGUGUGUAAAUAUUUUAGUAAAUAUUGGUUCUGUCUCAAUAUUUUAGUAAAUAGUUUUAUAAAUAACAAUAUUUUGGUAAUUAAUCCUUUUAAUUCUUGCAUUUAGAAAAAAAUAUGAUUGUUGAGCCACAGCAUUAGAACUUUCACUAAAACACUUAUCGAAUCAUCUACUUUUUGGGAGAAAAUCUAUUGUCUUUAAACCAAACUCAAAACUAUUUUUAAUUGCACAGAAAUUGGUAUUGUAAUGACAAUUAAAUAAUGAGGGAUGUUAUCAUUGGUGCAAAAUGUUCUUCUUUACUUCAAUGUUAUUGUUAUUAUUUAGUUUACCAAUCAGUUUAAAAUUUUCUUUUAGCAGCCAAAUUAUUUUUCAUUCUCUUUUUUUUUUCUUUUCUUUUUCAAAUCAUAAAUUCACAUUUUCUUUUCCUAACACCUGCAUCACUUAGAAUUUUAUCAUGCUUCCUUCAAGAAAGGAAUUUUAAUUAGUUGAGUUUUAUUUAGAUGUUCGUUUUUUCUUGAUAGAAAUCCAUCCCUAAUGAGGCAAAGAAAAUCCCCACAUCUCCGUGGCUGCAGAUUACAUUAUUUAUCCCUUUAAUUUAUUAUAAUAUAUAAAAUUAAAUAUUUAUGACAUUUUAUUUUAUUUUAUUUUAUUUAAAAAGUGUAAAAUGAGAAGAUUCCUAGUGAAUUAAGUAAAUAUAUUUAAUUGAAAAGUUUGUCAAAAUAUUAUAUUUUUCUAAAGAGAUUACAUGGCAGAUUUUCCUGAACAACUCACAUGUGAUACAUCCAAUAAUUGUUGAUAUGAUGAACCUAAAAAGGAAAAAACCAAUUGUGUAUUCUCACUUAGGUUGCUUACGUAUAGACUUUAUAUAUAAAACACAAAGAACCAGAAUGGAUCAAACACAAACGAACAUAAUAUCAAUCCUACCUUAAGGUUUGAACCAAUCUUUAGUGACUAAGUAAGUUGUGUCACCCCCUCCAAAACCCUCCGAGAGAAAAAUAUUUAUUCUUGAGGCAUCGAUCUUUAAGGCCACAACUCCCUCUAUAUGUUUGAAGGAGGGAUUGGUUCUGGAGAGAAUAUACUUGGAUGUUUGGCUCUCGAUCAACUUUCAAGACUUAUGUUUUGUUCCUUCGUGGUUUGAUUAUAUAUUAUAAAUAGCUCAUCAUAUAUGGUUUCA